UUAGAACACAACUGUAUUACAGUGGAACCUCGGUUUACUAGUAACUCAGUUAACAAGCUUUUUGAAAGACGAGCA